UUUUUAUUUUGGGUUGUGGCCUUUUACUUUCUAUUGAUUUUCUUUUUUAGCCAUUUUAUUUUUGUACUGGUCCCACUAGUCACAUUGGUCCCACAUGUCAUGUUGAUCUCAUAAUUUGUAUCGACACCAUAAAUUUUGUAAUUUGUCAAACAAUUUGUGAGGUUUCCAUUUCAUAGGUAUACAAAUCACAUACGAAAUCAAUAUUUUUGAACAGAUCACAGAACAAAUGAAAUCAUCCAAAAAACAGUAAAUUAGUCUAUUACAAUGUUUACACUACUACAACUCAAAUAUGCCUACUACAGCCUACUAUCACAAUACAUGAUAUGCUACUCUUUGCAUAUAGGCUUCACGACUUCACGAUUGGCUUCACAUUUCACCUAUGCAAAAAAUAAGAACAAAAUAGUAGCCAAUGAGGGAACAAAAUAGUAUAAUAUGUACAGGUUCAAUGACAAAUCAAGAGAAGAAUAAAACGAGCAUGCCCUCCAACAAAACAAGAGAAGAAUAAAAGCCACUAACACAGGUUCAAUGACAAAUCAAAUUAUAAAGUCAAUCUAAGGAACUAGACCAGAUCCCACACGACCACUGUAAGAACUUGAUGGCCCUAACAUAAAGAGGAACCACAAAACAAACAAAAGAAAAUAAGCCUCCUGCUUUGACUUUCUAUCUAUCAUGAUUCCAGUAGAAGUUGAUAGCAGCAUCUGGCUUUCGUACAUUGCCAGUACGUGUGCAUGUGGAGCAUUUGUCACGACUUACAUAAUGGUUAAACUGGUUUAUUAAAACGAGACUAAUCAAGUGCGAAAUGUGAGGAUUCAAGAUGGGCGACUGACACAACAAUGGACAUACAGACCUAUAUACAACAAUGGACAUACUUUCUGCCGCUACUGCACUAAGACACAGGUUGAGUGCACAAGAAAAAUCUAGGAAAUGCGGACAUUAUGAGUCAUGUAGCUUGACUGAAGAUAUAGAACAAACUGGAAGCAAUAGGACAGAGGUCGAGUGCACAAAAAAAUUCUAGGAAAUGCGGACAUUAUGAAUCAUGUAGCUUGACUGAAGUUAGGCCAAACAAAGCCAGUUAUACAUGCUAACAACAAAAAAUGCCAACAGAGUUUGAGAAUCGUUCAAUCCUGUAGCUUAACCUGGCAAACGUCAUAGUCGUAAAACAAUCUGGCAAACAUAAAUGAAACUUUUACUCUUUUAGCAAGCCUCACAAAAUACAAUAGCUUGAAUCGGACCUCAUGUCCAGGUCACAGCUGGUGAUGGAGGUGGGAGGAGGGGAGGCGGCCCUGGACGCCGCAGCUAGUGGUGGAGAGUAGAGCAGGAGAUGGUGGAGAGUAUAGGAGGAGGCUUGUGGAGGCUGCACCUGGUGGUGGAGAGGAGUGGAGGGGAGGGGUCGGCUUGCGGAGGCUGCACGUGGUGGUGGAGAGGAGGGGAGGGGAUCGGCUUGCGGAGGCUACACGUGGUGGUGGAGACGAGGNCCCACCUCGGCCAGGCGCCGCGAGAGGUGGCGGCCCAGCGUGGCCUCCCGCGGCUAUAGAGAGACCUGACGGCGGCGGCGAUCCCGAUCUGGGAGAGGGAGGCUACCGAGAGACUGGAUCGAGAGACUGAGGGAGGAGGGUGUGCCUCGCGGGUGCGUUCAGGAUAUGUGAUCCGUCGGCCGGAUCGACGGCAGGGUGUAGAC
rnacentral:lncRNA from 1 species